ensembl:lncRNA
UCUGGAGGUCGCUGCCCCAAGCCUGCCUGCCAAGGAGCCCUGAAGCCCGUAGGCCAGUGCUGUGAGGUCUGUGGAGCCCUGCUCUUCCUCAACUACACCCAGGCCUUUGAUCUCCACCAGUACAAGCAGAGGCUGUUACAUACCUUCCUGGACUUGCCCCAGGCUCCGGGGGUGCGCAUGGCCAUCUCAAAAGUACGCAGGACGCCCACACUGCGAGGGUCAGGGUACACAGCACGUGGGAAGCGACAGGCUGAGACCAUGACCCAGAUCCAGCUGGUGCUGACCGAUGAUGGAGCCGGGCCCGAGGCAGGAAAGGCAGCUGCAGAUGUGGCCCAAGCCAUCCUCACUGAUGUGGCUGAGCAAGGGGCAGCCUUUGGACUCCUGCGGGGGGAUGUGCAGUAUUCAGGCAGCACUGGCUCCACAGCUGGGCUGACCAGAGUGAGCCUGACCUCAGGGCUGGUGACUGGCAUGGCUAUUGCCUUGGCCCUGGGGCUGAUGGCUCUGCUUGGGGGUCUUCUGCUCCUUCACUGGACUGGAUGGGUCAGGCUGUGGCCUCUGCCGAUCCCCACUCUGUGGCAGAGAUCAGAACCUGCAUCAGAUCAAGGGAACCAAAGCUUCGACAACCCCAUUUUCGGCAAUCCGGUCCCUCCCUCCGUUCUGGACCCCGGCCCUGCCGUGGAAGCGGUUUCAGAAGACGCCUCUUCUCCAACGAGCCCCAGCAGGGAUAGUGGCAGCUACUUCACUAAUCCCUUGUUUGAAGCAGAUGUCUAAGGCCCUCCCACCUUUGGCCCUUGGUUCCGUGAGACCCUGGGACCCUGGCCUGUGUGGGGAGGAGGGAACAACUGAGCUGAUGGCAGCCGUUUUCUGUCUCUUGCCUCGUCUCCACCAUGACACCUAGCCCAGGGCUCUCCCCACCCCAACCCCGACAACCUGAGUUUCUCUGGAUGGAUGGAUGGAUGAGUAGGAUGUCUCCCAUGAUGAUGAACUACCCUUCAUUCAUCUUUCCCCAGCAUAGGGCACCGUCCAUGCACUUUCCUAACAGGGCACACCACAAAGCAUGUCUUAAAAUAGAAGCCAGGCCUCCCAGCUUUCAGACCAAGCCAUCCAGUCUUCCAUGAGUCCAGCAUCCCUUGAUUUGGUUCCCUCAGCCCAGGGUACACCCCUGGUUGCCCCUCAUCUCCAUGUAGUAGAUAGCUAUCAAUUUUUUCCCCACAGGAAUUACUUCUUUUUCUCUCUCAACCUUGACUGAAUAUUGAGAAAUCUGAGUUCAAGUUCUGACGCUGACUCACUGUGUGUCUUCCUUUCUCUGGGCCUCAGUUUCCUCCUCUGCAAAAUGAUCUUUGUUUCCCUCCAGCUCUGAUGGUGGCUCAGAGUUCCCAGGGAAGAAACUACAUCAAGGGAGUGUGACCCAUCCUUCAACCAAUGGAGCGGGGGAGGGCCAGGGACAGGGAAAGAGACUUCUGCCUGGAGGUGCCCUGCAGACAGAUGGUGGGGGCAGUGCUAGCCUUGCCAUUAUCCAGGGAAGGGCUAGAGAAAGAAUCAGAGCUGGCCUUUUUCAAUAAAAAAUGUCUGAUUGGC